rnacentral:rRNA from 1 species
UACGAAGGGUGCAAGCGUUACUCGGAAUUACUGGGCGUAAAGCGUGCGUAGGCGGUCUGUUAAGUCCGUUGUGAAAGCCCUGGGCUCAACCUGGGAAUUGCAGUGGAUACUGGCUCGCUAGAGUGCGGUAGAGGAGAGUGGAAUUCCCGGUGUAGCAGUGAAAUGCGUAGAGAUCGGGAGGAACAUCAGUGGCGAAGGCGGCUGUCUGGCCCAAUACUGACACUCAGGUGCGACAGCGUGGGGAGCAAACAGG